rnacentral:rRNA from 1 species
UCGGGAAUUUUGGGCAAUGGGCGAAAGCCUGAUCCAGCCAUGCCGCGUGAGUGACGAAGGCCUUAGGGUUGUAAAACUCUUUCGUCGGGGACGAUAAUGACGGUACCCGAAGAAGAAGCUCCGGCUAACUUCGUGCCAGCAGCCGCGGUAAUACGAAGGGAGCUAGCGUUGUUCGGAAUCACUGGGCGUAAAGCGCACGUAGGCGGAUAGUUAAGUCAGGGGUGAAAUCCUGGGGCUCAACCCCAGAACUGCCUUUGAUACUGGCUGUCUCGAGGUCGAGAGAGGUUGGUGGAAUUCCUAGUGUAGAGGUGAAAUUCGUAGAUAUUAGGAAGAACACCAGUGGCGAAGGCGGCUCACUGGCCCGAUACUGACGCUGAGGUGCGAAAGCGUGGGGAGCAAACAGGAUUAGAUACCCGAGUAGUCCCUGAGCGGGCUGGCAAGGCGCAU